UGCUGUGAUGGUGUAAUUUGCGUCCUACUCUACGCACAGCGACAGUUGCCUGCUGUCUCAUGCUGGUGUGGAAGGUUGACGAAAAAGCAAGUCUGAGCA